rnacentral:lncRNA from 1 species
UUGUUUGUCUUACAUGAUUUACGAUUGAUUGUAAAAUUAGAAAUUAAUAUACAAACGAAAAAUUGUUUGGUCAUGUGAAUUAAUGAAUGGUAAUUUUACUAGAUAUCCUGAGAGAUGGUGGAUGGACUGGGUGCACAAGAAACAAUGCCGUGAAUGUUUUCUCAUACCGAAUAGGGUAUCGAAAAAUAGUAUUGUUGGUGCUCAUACCGGACAAGAUAUGAGGAUGACCCGAUUCACCCUCAUACUGGAUGAGAUAUUGGUGGUUAGUAUUUUUGGGGCUCAUACCGGAUAAGGUAUGGGGGGCGGCCAGUUAGUUGACAAUGUUGGAUAUUAGUUCACGCAGAGCCUUAGCCUUAGUCUACAAUCAUUCCUAAGUCUCUCCUAUUUCCUAUUCCUAUUCUAGCUGGGAUAUUCGACAUCAUUUGUGCUUUUUCACCUAAGCCUUCCUCUUUCACUAAGAUUAAGGACGGCUUUAGACUUCUCCAUCUUCCUCUUC